rnacentral:rRNA from 1 species
GACGAACGCUGGCGGCGUGCUUAACACAUGCAAGUCGAACGGAAAGGCCCUGCUUUUGUGGGGUGCUCGAGUGGCGAACGGGUGAGUAACACGUGAGUAACCUGCCCUUGACUUUGGGAUAACUUCAGGAAACUGGGGCUAAUACCGGAUAGGAGCUCCUGCUGCAUGGUGGGGGUUGGAAAGUUUCGGCGGCUGGGGAUGGACUCGCGGCUUAUCAGCUUGUUGGUGGGGUAGUGGCUUACCAAGGCUUUGACGGGUAGCCGGCCUGAGAGGGUGACCGGCCCCCUUGGGCCUGAGGUACGGCCCAGACUCCUACGGGAGGCAGCAGUGGGGAAUAUUGCACAAUGGGCGGACGCCUGAUGCAGCAACGCCGCGUGCGGGAUGACGGCCUUCGGGUUGUAAACCGCUUUCGCCUGUGACGAAGCGUGAGUGACGGUAAUGGGUAAAGAAGCACCGGCUAACUACGUG